rnacentral:hammerhead_ribozyme from 1 species
AUCCAACUGACGAGUCCCACAUAGGACGAAACACGCGUCCUGGAU